CAGGCCUUAAUUCCAGCAGUUUCUCAGUGGCUCCCACAAGUCUCCAGGAUUGAUCUGACAUCUUGUAUGACUUCUCUCCCAAAGACUAAGGAAUCCUUCUUUGUGACUCUCCUGAGACGCCAAGUCAUUUCAAAGCUUAGUAGGAUGUUCUGGCCCACCCUGAGUUGGUUUGAACUGUCAACAUUGACUGAAGUCCCUAACAGGUUGGGCAUAGGGAUAAACGUCACUGAAAAGGGCAAAUGCAGAAAGGACAGUGCCUAAGUUUUGACUGGUCAAUAUGACGGUGGUGAUCAUCAGUCAUAGUGACAUGGACCACAAUGCUGGAGAGUCACUGCAGUCUCUGGGCACCUGGCUUAUAGUAACAAAGCUCCACUUAGAAGCAUCUGCCAGAGUAGGACAUUAGGCUUGAAUCAAAUGCUCAAAAGCCAUGCAGAAAGCUGGUUGGUAUAGGGACUUCCAAUGGCAUUGAACUUUACUCUGAUUGGUGGCCUUGUCUUAGGUGUCUUCAGUUACCCACAUAACACACUAAUCCUUGCUUCUGUUCUGGUGGAGUAGUGGGUGGCAGGGGCCUGGGCAAGACCUGGUGGCUUAUACACGCUCCCUCUCCACCAAACCCUGGCCUUAGACCCUUUUAACUUGACAGCUGAUGCUUUAGGUGGUCUGAGUGUGGUGGCUGGGCCUCUGGCUUUGGACAGGCAGAUAGCAUUCUGAAAGAAGUAUGGUUGACUUGGAUGUGAUGAAUCCAUGCUGUCAUUACAGCACUUGGGAGGCUGAGGCAGGAGGAUCCUGCAUUGGAGGCCAGCCUGGACUGGAUAAUGACACCUUAUCUCAGAAAAAGAAAAAAGAAAAGAAGAAAAGAAAAGGGAACAAGUGGGUAGGGUCACCGAGCACAGUGUCUGUGGAAGUCAGCUGUCAGCAGCGGGAAAGGGCUAUGUGAGGUUGAUGGAAGGGAGAGGCCUGUGGUGAGUCACCGGGAAGUCUGGAGAGUGAGCCUCAGGCCUUGGCCCCAGCCAGCCAGGCACAGUCACUCAGGAGUCCCAAGCCAGUGUGAACACACAGCUGUUGUGACUGCUCUUUGCAGUGGUCCCUCCUGGCUCCUGCCACGCCACACCUCUGUUUCCUCACUCAAGACCAGGUGUCCCUCAGUGGCCUGUGACUCACAGUAAGGCAAUAAACAUGCUCAAGGCCAAAAGUUGAGUGCAUUUAGAGGAGCUUGGGGACAGGGACAUAUACAUAGGUAGGUACUAGGAAGUUACAGCUCUCUCUCUCUCCCUCUCACUGUGUGUGUGCGUGUGUGUGUGUGUGUGUGUGUGUGUGUGUGUGUGUGUGUGUGCGCGUGUGCAUGUGCGUGUGCAUGUGCGUGUAUUGUUUGACCAGGAAUGAGGUAGGUUGUUUUAGAUACUUGGGCAUAUUGUUUCCACAAGUGGAACAGAAUAGUUAGGCUGGGGGGUGGGGCUAACUCAUUCUUCGUGGCUAUGGGCUAUUACCCAGUACACCCUGACUCAAUUCCUCAGGACCUCCGUCUACUACCCAGCAGCCUCUACCACCUUCCAAUGGAGAAUACCCAACAGCUUAUUAUCUUCGAGGGUCCACAGUGAGGGUUGAGCAAGGUGGUGUCUCGACCUUCCAAGACUUUCCUUUCUGGGCCGUAGCCUGUGUCUUGGUCCAGGCCUAGUGUGCUCCAUGGUGAACAUCUGAGCUCUUCACUUCUCUUACCCGCUCCGGGCUGUUCUGUCUCCCGCAAACCUCCACGGGGAAAGGAGAACAUGUAGCUGGAGAGUUUCUCUCCUGGUCCCGCCAAGCCCCAGCAGUUCCACAGCCCACUUAUAAAAUAACCAUUUAGAGGCUUAUAUUACUUAUAAAAUUGUAUGGCCGUGGCAGGCUUCUUGCUAUCUAGUUCUUAUAUCUUAAAUUAACCCAUUUCUAUUAAUCUAUAAGUUGCCAUGUGGCUUGUGGCUUACUGGUAUCUUAACAUCUGCUUCUCAUGGCGGUGGGUGGCAGCGUUUCCUGACUCAGCCUUCCUGUUCCCAGAAUUCUCCUCUCUUUGUCCUGCCUAUACUUCCUGCCUGGCUACUGGCCAAUCAGCACUUUAUUUAUUAACCAAUCAGAGCAACACAUUCACAGCAUAGAGAACAUCCCACAGCAAGAACAGGAGACACAAGCAGACAUACUGUUGCUCUAGAGAAAGCUUAGGAGCAGGCUGAGGUCUAAGAAUGUAUGUUAGCUAGGGCCUCUUCUACCUUACUUUGGCAGGCACCCUACUGGGACACUUUCUGUGAGUCUUGGGUGUCCAGACAUUUCACUUAGGAAGUGGGUAUGCAUCCAAGGGGUGCUACAUCCUGUUCCCCACCCUUUUCCCAGUCUCCUGCCUUGGAAUCAGAAAGUGUGGCUGCAGGCUUCUGCUGUGAACCUCCUCAAAAGGUCUAAGAAACAGCUCCUUCCUCCUUUAUUGUGGCUCUGAUUCUCUCCAGAGACCAGAUCGUGCUGUAUCUCUCUGAUGCUAGGGCCUGAACUAUCCUCCGAGGUUCUGCCAUGCUGAUGCCCACCCCCAUCUCUCUAUCCAUGACAUUACCAAACAAAGUCCUGAGUCACCAGUAAUCUGUCCUGGUGUCUUUCUGAACCAGCACAUCUAAAACCUAACAGAGAGCUAGCAUCACAGUAGCGAAGGCCAACUUGAGAACUGUUAGAAAAAUGACAGGCACUUAUCAAGCUGAAACACAUCUUCGCGGGGUCUGAGGUUGCUUGAAAGCCUGUAGGCAGCCUCGAGCUGCGAGCGCCCCUCAGAUGCACUUUGGAGCGGCAGGAGUCGCCCCUCAGAUGCACUUUGGAGCCGCAGGAGUGGGGCACAGCUCUUCCCCCUGGAAGGCAGGAAGAAAACGAGGGGGCUGAGAAACACCAAGCGAGUUCUGAAAAAUUCUAACAAGCUUUCUCUGUUUGUCUUCUCCAGGCUUCCACAGCCGGUCUGCAUGCAGUUGGGAUAAAUUCAGCCCAGGAGGAAAAUCAGCCCUUCCUCCCCCUCUCUCCUCCCAUUUUAGGCUGAACCAUGCAGACAGCUCUUCUACAAUAACCACCAGUUUGGCCACCUUUGACUUCAGGUGCACACCUCCACUUACCACCAAGCUGAGAAGCUCAAUGUUCCCCUGGCUGCGUGGCCAGCAAGGCACUAUCUGCUGUCUCCUUUUGGCUCUGGUGGAGUAGCUUGAGAUGCACUUCUCACUGCGGCCUGAGUGGAGACAGGAGGCCUGUGCAGCUGCUGUGUGGUUUUGAGUGGCCCGCUGAGGAUCUGGACACAGCAUGGCCAGUGGGUGAGGCGGAACACUGCGUGAGGCGGUACACUGCUCUGCUACUGUGAUAAAGGCAUUCUGAAGACACUGUGAUGCAGGACUGGGCUGCUUAAGUUACCAUACCCAAAUCAUACGGACGGGGUGACUGAACAGUGCAGCCCCAAGGUCAGAGCGCCUGUGGGGUUAGUUCCUGGAGCAUUGUCUUCCAUGGCUGGCAGCCUCCUGUUCACUCCAUCACCAUAGUUGUUCCUCCGUGACAAGCAAGCUUUGGGGUUUCUUUGCUUCUUCUGAGGACAUUGGUUAGUUCGGAUUAGGCCCCUGUGACCUCAUUUGAUUAGUUACCUCAUGUUUCUACGUGUAGGCACAUUGGGUACGAGGGCUUCAAGAUAUGGCAUUUGGGGGAACACAGUAUAGAUCAUGUACAGGCAGAGACACACGUGUGGAUACAUUAAUGGAAUGAAUAUUCUGGUCGUAGAAGGCAAUUUUGAUUUAGAUUUAGAUCUGUGUUUUGUGAUCUCCAGGCUUCUGCGUUAUGAGGAAGAAGACAGCAGAUACUAGCCUUUAAGGAAAUACAUUUUUCUUUUAUUUUAAAAUGAUGUGUACAAUAGGAUUUUAUCCGGAUUGUGGUCAAUGGCUGGCGUGUCUACUCCUCCUCAUCUCAUCCACAUCCACCUCUCUGUCUGCACGUUUGCACUGAGAGAUAUCUAGAGCCACACUGACGAAAUGCUUCUUUCUAGGUGGUGGAAUCAGAAGUGAUUUUGCCUGGGCUUUUUUUUCCUUGCACUUACCUCCAUGACUCAGAAUUUAUAAUAAGGUACACACAUACGUAUCCUUUCCAAGCAGACGGUAUUGAUGAACUUUUAUGUGCUGACAGUGCCUCUCAUGUGUACUCCUGCCUUGUUCCUGAGUGUCCUGGCUGGUAGGCCCAGCACUGUUACUUUGGCCAAACACAGCUGAGUGUGGGACUCCGCAGGGAGCAGUGAGGAAAACUUUGGAGGACACUCGGGUGCCAUUGGAACUCACAGCCAGUGGCAUCAUGAGCCUUUGAAGUCUUUUUUUAUGACUGGCUGGCCAGGCUUGUAACUGGAGUUUUUACAGUUCCUGGAAGGGCAGCAAGGUGUCCCAGAUGCUGCGUGAUUGGCUGCCCUGUGUGGACAGAUACCCAAGGUUUGGAGGUUGCAAAGUCAAGGAUGUCGGAUGUUUGUGGCUCCUGUAGAAAGCACAGGCAGAUUUGCAGGGUUUUCCCUGUAUUGGAAAGCCAGCAGGCACUCUCCUGCCUGAGGCAGCUGUGAGACUACCACGGCCAGCAUCUGUGCGUGUUGGGCUGAAAGUGGACACAGAAACACUCCCACCCCGACCCCAGCACAUGCUGUCCCCUGCAGACCCGUGAAAGAGAUCAUGGGAAGUCCUUUUCUCCAAGGGGUCCUUGGCUCGAACCCAAGGCCUAUCAACAAUCAUAGCGUACGUUCCCUAAACAGAGAGUGGUUUUGCAGGAUGGCACAUUAUCCAGCUGUGAAGACCAGCUAACCACAGUUAGGUGCCAUUGCACCUAAUGACAUGGAUGUCACCCACAGGCACACAGCUGAGUGGACAAAGCCAAUGCAAAACGAAGAUAGCAUCAUUUCUUUAAUGGGAAGUUCAAGCCAAGCAAAACAAAACCGUGUCUUCAGGGAUGCACGCCUCAAAGAGGGCACACAGGGAGAAAUGAUACAGUUCAGAAUAAGACUAACCGGCGGAGAGGGGAGGGGUCAGCACUGGUCAAGGUUUCCCAGGGUGGAUGAAGAGUCCUGGACAGUGUUCUCUUUAACCUGGUGGUGGUGACAAGGAUGUUUGCUUUAUAAUUAUUCAUUAAACUGCUGAGUUUACA